rnacentral:rRNA from 1 species
AUUGAACGCUGGCGGCGUGCUUAACACAUGCAAGUCGGACGAGUGGCGAACGGGUGAGUAACGCAUCGGAACGUACCUAGUCAUGGGGGCUAACUGUCAGAAAGGACAGCUAAUACCGCAUAUUAUUCGAGCGGCCGAUGUCGGAGUAGCUGGUGGGCUGGGUAAAGGCACACAAAGGCGACGAUCAGUAGCGGGUCUGAGAGGAUGAUCCGCAACACUGGGACUGAGACACGGCCCAGACUCCUACGGGAGGCAGCAGUGGGGAAUUUUGGACAAUGGGCGCAAGCCUGAUCCAGCCAUGCCGCGUGUCUGAAGAAGGCCUUCGGGUUGUAAAGGACUUUUGUCAGGGAAGCGGUACCUGAAGAAUAAGCACCGGCUAACUACGUGCCAGCAGCCGCGGUAAUUC